rnacentral:rRNA from 1 species
AUGGAGCUGCCGGCCGCCGGCGGGGGCCGGCGCACGAGCUACUCGCUGCUGUCCCAGUUCCCCGACGACGCGGCGGCCGCGGGGGCCUCCCCGGCGGUUCUGCAGCGGCAGUCCAGCGGCGGCAGCAGCUACGGCGCCGGGAGCUCCGUCUCGGCCUCCAGCGACUACCCGUUCCACCUGCCCCCGGCGGUCGCCGCGGCGGGAGGGGGAGGGGGCACGCCCUCCCCCUGCAAGAGCUGGGCGCAGCAGGCGGAGGAGACGUACCAGCUGCAGCUCGCCCUCGCGCUCCGCCUCUGCGCCGACGCCGCCUGCGCCGCCGACCCCGGGUUCCUCGACCCCGGCGACUCCGGGGGGUCCAAGAUGGGGGGCGGCGGGGGUGGCAGCGGCAGCGGCAGGGCCUUCCCGCUCGCUCCCCCCUCCCCCACCGCCGAGGCCCUCUCCCACCGCUUCUGGGUAAACGGCUCGUUAUCAUACAGCAACACGAUACCGGAUGGGUUCUACUUGAUCCAAGGGAUGGACCCCUUUGUGUGGUCGAUGUGCACCGACGUGCACGAGGAGAACCGCAUACCCUCCGUGGAGUCGCUCAAGUCUGUCCGCCCCGACGAUUCUUCCAUCCAGGUGGUCCUCGUCGACAGGAGAGCUGAUUUCGAUCUUGGUAUGCUGGAGAACUACGCGUCCAGCUUUCUGUCCAGUUCCUCCGACAUGAAAGAUGUGAUAAAUCAGCUAGCCAAACUUGUGUCUUCCAGAAUGGGUGGUACAACCUCCAACGAGGAGAACUUGCUUCCACGCUGGAAAGAGAGCAGCGAGGCAAUCAAAUCAAGUGCAGGAUCUAUUGUGCUUCAUCUGGGGAAGCUGCCGAUUGGUCUCUGCAAGCACCGCUCACUGCUUUUUAAAAUGUUAGCAGAUAAAGUCAACAUACCAUGCAGAUUAGUCAAGGGCUGUAAAUACUGUAAAGCUGAAGACGCUUCCUCCUGUGUCGUACGUUUUGGGCUUGAAAGGGAAUAUCUGGUUGACUUAUUUGGGGCUCCAGGCCAAUUAUCUGAUCCUGAUUCUUUCGUCAAUGGUCCCUACUCGCUGUCGGUUCCAUCACCUCUCCGCCCACCAAAAUUUAGGUCGUUAGAGAUCACUUCAAAUUUCAGCUCAGUUGCCAAGCAAUACUUCUCAGACUGUCACUCGCUCAAUCUAUUGUUCAGUGAUGCUUCCACAGGUGCUUCUAAUGGUGCUGCAGUUGCUGUAGACCAAAUGUAUUCGAAGAAACAUGAUGCAGGGGACGGAAUUGCCAAUAGCUGGGUGCCAGUGAAAGGGCAAGCAAUUGCGAACUCAGACAUUAUUCUGCCAGAAGCUCCUCGGGAAGUUUUGCCACUUAUGUCACCGUCCAAUUUGACAGCUGAUAAAAAGAAAGAGUUUCAGUUGAUCGAGGGGAAUCAGUAUCUGCGAAGUACUGUCAGUGAUCUGUCACUUGCUGUGGAUGAUCUGAUCAUUCCAUGGAGUGAGCUGGUUCUAAAGGAGAAGAUUGGAGCAGGUUCUUUCGGAACAGUUCAUCGUGCUGACUGGCAUGGAUCGGAUGUUGCUGUGAAGAUACUGAUGGAGCAGGAUUAUCAUCUGGAUCGCUUCAAGGAAUUUAUGAGAGAGGUUGCAAUAAUGAAAAGUCUGAGGCAUCCAAAUAUUGUUCUAUUCAUGGGUGCUGUUACUGAACCCCCAAACCUAUCAAUAGUUACAGAGUACUUGUCGAGGGGUAGUUUGUAUAAACUUUUGCAUAGGAGUGGUGCAAGGGAGGUUCUGGAUGAGAGACGCCGCUUGAACAUGGCAUUCGAUGUGGCGAAGGGAAUGAAUUAUCUACAUAGACGUAGCCCUCCUAUUGUUCACCGUGAUUUGAAAUCUCCAAAUCUUCUUGUCGACAAGAAGUAUACUGUGAAGGUAUGCGACUUUGGGCUUUCGCGACUAAAAGCCAACACCUACCUGUCCUCGAAAUCUUUGGCAGGAACACCUGAAUGGAUGGCGCCUGAAGUGCUUCGAGAUGAGCCAUCCAAUGAGAAGUCUGAUGUGUACAGUUUCGCUGUUAUCCUGUGGGAACUUAUGACAUUACAACAACCAUGGUGUAACUUGAAUCCUGCCCAGGUAGUUGCUGCUGUUGGCUUUAAAGGAAGAAGACUUGAAAUUCCGAAAGAAUUAAAUCCUCAAGUAGCUGCAUUAAUCGAAUCCUGCUGGGCAAAUGAGCCAUGGCGGAGGCCCUCAUUUGCUAAUAUCAUGGAAACUCUGAGGCCUUUAAUUAACAAGGUCCCGGUGCCGCAGUUGAUCCGCUCAGACUCAUAG